AAACGAGAAAAUACGACGUUGACUUGC
rnacentral:sRNA from 1 species